CAGACAUCAUGACCACUCCAAAUCAAUAACGUGCUCAUAGGGUUUGGAGUAACCCUUUAAUUGCAAUACACUACUGUUUGUGUUUGUCUUUUUUUGAGUUAGCAUGAUCUUGCUGUAAAAUUGUACCUUUAUUUUCUUUUUAAAGGGGUACUAUAGUGACUAAACAACUUUAGCUGAAUUAAGUAGGUUUUUGUAUAUAGAACUUGCCCCUGCAGUCUCACUACUCCAUUAUCUGCCAGUUAGGAGUUUAAUCACUUUUGUUAAUUUUUAUGCAGCCCUUGUAACACCUCCCUGGGUGUGACAGACACAGCCUGCAUGAAAACAAAAUGUUUUUAUUUUUAAUCAGAUGUAACUUACUUUAAAGGAUCACUAUAAUGUCACAAACACAAACCUGUAUUUCAGACCCUAUAGCACUAAGAUCACUAUCUAGCCUCCAUUGCCCCCCCUAAUUAUAGUAAAAUCUUUCUUUUAUUCCAGUCUCCUGGUGCUGGCUCUGCCACUGAUCUGCCGCCUUGGCUGACAUCAUCAGAAGUAAUGAUCCCAGCCAAUCACAAUGCUUUCUUAUAGGAAAACAUUGGAUUGGCUGAGAUGGUCAAUUGUGAUGUCUGCCAAGGAGGAGAGUUGUGGGCGUAGCCAAACACUGCCAUGCAGUGAAUCAAUCCAUCUCUAUGGGGAAAGUGAGUGUCUGCAUGCAGAGGGUGGAGACACUGAAUGUCAGUCACACUGUGCAGCACUGCCCGAGGAAGCACCUCUAGUAACCAUCUGAGGAGUGGACACUAAAAGUGUCCCUAGGUUGUAAUGUGAAAACACUGACUUUUCUCUGAAAAGAAAGUAUUUACAUUAAAAUUUCUGAAGAGAAUGAUUAUAGUUACUAUAGCAAGUACAUUAAGCUGUAGUUGUUCUGGUGACCAGGGCCGCCACCAGGAGGCGACAACCAUGGCGGUUGGUAUAGGCCUGGCGGUCCUGGGGGGCCCGGACUGCUUUGGCAGUCCCGGGCCCCACAUUCCCUCUCU